rnacentral:rRNA from 1 species
UACGGGGGGAGCAAGCGUUGUUCGGAUUUACUGGGCGUAAAGGGCGCGUAGGCGGCCACCGCAAGUCGACUGUGAAAUCUCUGGGCUUAACCCAGAACGGUCAGCCGAUACUGCGGGGCUAGAGUGCAGAAGGGGCAACUGGAAUUCCCGGUGUAGCGGUGAAAUGUGUAGAGAUCGGGAGGAACACCGGUGGCGAAGGCGGGUCUCUGGGCAUUCCCUGACGCUGAGGCGCGAAAGCGUGGGGAGCAAACGGG